CGUGUAGGCGGACUGGAAAGUCGGAUGUGAAAUCCCCGGGCUCAACCCGGGAACUGCAUUCGAAACUCCUAGUCUCGAGUGAUGGAGAGGGUAGUGGAAUUCCCGGUGUAGAGGUGAAAUUCGUAGAUAUCGGGAGGAACACCAGUGGCGAAGGCGGCUGCCUGGACAUCAACUGACGCUGAGACGCGAAAGCGUGGGGAGCAAACA
rnacentral:rRNA from 1 species